rnacentral:rRNA from 1 species
UACGUAGGGGGCAAGCGUUGUCCGGAAUCAUUGGGCGUAAAGAGCGCGUAGGCGGCCCUGUAAGUCCGCUGUGAAAGUCAAGGGCUCAACCCUUGGAUGCCGGUGGAUACUGCAGGGCUAGAGUCCGGAAGAGGCGAGUGGAAUUCCUGGUGUAGCGGUGAAAUGCGCAGAUAUUAGGAGGAACACCGAUGGCGAAGGCAGCUCGCUGGGACGGUACUGACGCUGAGGCGCGAAAGCGUGGGGAGCAAACAGG